GACGAACGCUGGCGGCGUGCCUAAUACAUGCAAGUUGAGCGCUGAAGGUUGGUCCUUGUACCAACUGGAUGAGCAGCGCACGGGUGAGUAACGCGUGGGGAAUCUGCCUUUGAGCGGGGGACAACAUUUGGAAACGAAUGCUAAUACCGCAUAAAAACUUUAAACACAAGUUUUACGUUUGAAAGAUGCAAUUGCAUCACUCAAAGAUGAUCCCGCGUUGUAUUAGCUAGUUGGUGAGGUAAAGGCUCACCAAGGCGAUGAUACAUAGCCGACCUGAGAGGGUGAUCGGCCACAUUGGGACUGAGACACGGCCCAAACUCCUACGGGAGGCAGCAGUAGGGAAUCUUCGGCAAUGGACGAAAGUCUGACCGAGCAACGCCGCGUGAGUGAAGAAGGUUUUCGGAUCGUAAAACUCUGUUGGUAGAGAAGAACGUUGGUGAGAGUGGAAAGCUCAUCAAGUGACGGUAACUACCCAGAAAGGGACGGCUAACUACGUG
rnacentral:rRNA from 1 species